rnacentral:lncRNA from 1 species
AGUCUGAAUCCCUACUUUCUCUCUCUAAAAUGUUAGAUCCUCUCUCUACUUUCUCUUUCUAAAAUUUUUUAUUUUUUGAUUGUGUAUCUCUUUUGAUGGAUUUCUCUCUAAAAAUCAUCUCUCUAAGAUUAGCUAGGGAAAAAAUUUCUUUUAAUGAUUCUGAUCUGAUUUCAAUAAAGAGAAUCUUGAUCUACGAUCUUUGGAUAGCAUAUCGAUACCCACUUUGACUAAAUUG